ACGAACUCUGGUAUUGAUUGGUGCUUGCAUCAUGAUUUACAUUUGAGUGAGUGGCGAACUGGUGAGUAACACGUGGGAAACCUGCCCAGAAGCGGGGGAUAACACCUGGAAACAGAUGCUAAUACCGCAUAACAACUUGGACCGCAUGGUCCGAGUUUGAAAGAUGGCUUCGGCUAUCACUUUUGGAUGGUCCCGCGGCGUAUUAGCUAGAUGGUGGGGUAACGGCUCACCAUGGCAAUGAUACGUAGCCGACCUGAGAGGGUAAUCGGCCACAUUGGGACUGAGACACGCCCAACUCUACGGGAGGCAGCAGUAGGGAUCUCACAAUGACGAAGUCUGAUGAGCACGCGCGUGAGGUGAAGAAGGGUUUCGGCUCGUAAAACUCUGUGUUAAAGAAGAACAUAUCUGAGAGUAACUGUUCAGGUAUUGACGGUAUUUAACCAGAAAGCCACGGCUAACUACGUGCCAGCAGCCGCGGUAAUACGUAGGUGGCAAGCGUUGUCCGGAUUUAUUGGGCGUAAAGCGAGCGCAGGCGGUUUUUUAAGUCUGAUGUGAAAGCCUUUCGGCUCAACCGAAGAAGUGCAUCGGAAACUGGGAAACUUGAGUGCAGAAGAGGACAGUGGAACUCCAUGUGUAGCGGUGAAAUGCGUAGAUAUAUGGAAGAACACCAGUGGCGAAGGCGGCUGUCUGGUCUGUAACUGACGCUGAGGCUCGAAAGUAUGGGUAGCAAACAGGAUUAGAUACCCUGGUAGUCCAUACCGUAAACGAUGAAUGCUAAGUGUUGGAGGGUUUCCGCCCUUCAGUGCUGCAGCUAACGCAUUAAGCAUUCCGCCUGGGGAGUACGGCCGCAAGGCUGAAACUCAAAGGAAUUGACGGGGGCCCGCACAAGCGGUGGAGCAUGUGGUUUAAUUCGAAGCUACGCGAAGAACCUUACCAGGUCUUGACAUACUAUGCAAAUCUAAGAGAUUAGACGUUCCCUUCGGGGACAUGGAUACAGGUGGUGCAUGGUUGUCGUCAGCUCGUGUCGUGAGAUGUUGGGUUAAGUCCCGCAACGAGCGCAACCCUUAUUAUCAGUUGCCAGCAUUAAGUUGGGCACUCUGGUGAGACUGCCGGUGACAAACCGGAGGAAGGUGGGGAUGACGUCAAAUCAUCAUGCCCCUUAUGACCUGGGCUACACACGUGCUACAAUGGAUGGUACAACGAGUUGCGAACUCGCGAGAGUAAGCUAAUCUCUUAAAGCCAUUCUCAGUUCGGAUUGUAGGCUGCAACUCGCCUACAUGAAGUCGGAAUCGCUAGUAAUCGCGGAUCAGCAUGCCGCGGUGAAUACGUUCCCGGGCCUUGUACACACCGCCCGUCACACCAUGAGAGUUUGUAACACCCAAAGUCGGUGGGGUAAC
rnacentral:rRNA from 1 species